rnacentral:rRNA from 1 species
UCAAGCGAAGAAUAGGUUUAUGGUGGAUGUCUUGGAGCCGACCGGCGAAGAAGGCCGUGAUAAGCUGCGAAAAGCUUCGGGGAGGAGCACAUAUCCUGUGAUCCGGAGAUAGCCGAAUGGGGUAACCCGAUAGAAGUAAUUCUAUCAUUACGCUCUUGAAUAAAAUAGAGAGGUAAAGCGAUACUGAGUGAACUGAACCAUCUAAGUAACUCAAGGAAAAGACAUCAAAAGAGAUUCCGAAAGUAGUGGCGAGCGAAAUUGGAAGAGCCCAAACCCGUUAAACGGGGGUUGUAGGGCUGCACGGGCUUACGUACAGCAAGUGAUAAAGCGAAUGUAUAGCGGAAAGGUUUUGGGAAAGCCUGACAGAGAGGGUGAAAUCCCCGUACGCGAAAUACAGUCGUCUUGCCGGUGCAGUACCUGAGUACGGCGGGACACGAGAAAUCCUGUCGGAAUCUGGGUCGACCACGAUCCAAGGCUAAAUACGAGUUGGCUACCGAUAGCGGACAAGUACCGUGAGGGAAAGAUGAAAAGAACCCCGGUGAGGGGAGUGAAAUAGAACCUGAAACCAUAAACCGACAAGAUGUUACAGCCCUUUAUGGGUGGUAGCGUGCCUUUUGUAGAAUGAGCCUGCGAGUUACGGUAUGCAGCGAGGUUAAGGAAUAGGAGUUCCGGAGCCGGAGGGAAACCGAGUCUGAAUAGGGCGAAGUAAGUUGCAUGUCGUAGACCCGAAGCCAGAGUGAUCUAGUCAUGAGCAGGUUGAAGCAGCGGUAAAACGCUGUGGAGGACCGAACUACAAUCUGUUAAAAAAGGUUUGGAUGACUUGUGACUAGGAGUGAAAGGCUAAACAAACCUGGAAAUAGCUGGUUCUCCCCGAAAUGCCUUUAGGGACAGCCUUAUACAAAAUUACCGGAGGUAAAGCACUGGAUGGACUAGGGGGCUUCACCGCCUACCAAACCCAAUCAAACUCUGAAUGCCGGUAAUCAACGUAUAGGAGUGAGACUGCGUGCGACAAGGUUCGUAGUCAAAAGGGAAACAGCCCAGACCGUCAGCUAAGGUCCCGAAAUACUGCUUGAGUGUAAAAUGAAGUGUGGAUACAAAGACAGCCAGGAGGUUGGCUUAGAAGCAGCCAUUCCUUAAAAGAGUGCGUAAUAGCUCACUGGUCGAGUAUACAUGCGCAGAUAAUGUAACGGGGCUAAGCGGUAUACCGAAGUUUUGGAUCUGACACGUUUUGUGUCAGGUGGUAGGGGAGCAUUCCAUGGGCUGAUGAAGCAAUACCCGUGAGGGGUUGUGGAGGCAGUGGAAGAGAGAAUGCAGGCAUAAGUAACGCAAAGACGGGUGAGAUUCCCGUCCGCCGAAAACCUAAGGUUUCCUGGGUAAAGGCAAUCUGCCCAGGGUAAGUCGGCCCCUAAGGCGAGGACGAAAGUCGUAGUCGAUGGGAAAUCGGUUCAAAAUCCGAUACCCGGCUCAGUUUUGAAGGCAGGACGCAUGAGGUGAAAUCCGGCAGAAGAACGGUAGUUUCUGUCCAAGCGGUAAGGUGUUGAGAGGGCGGUUAAAAGAGCCCUUGAGCUGAGCCGUUACGGGGAGCGGAGCGCAGGCGAAGCGAAGCGGACGUAAUCAAGGUGCCGGGAAAUACUGUCUAAAGUUAGGCUGAGUCGGACCGUACCGGAAACGGACACACGCAGGCAGGAUGAGUAAUCUAAGGCGCACGAGCGACCCCGCGUUAAGGAACUCGGCAAAAAGCACACGUAACUUCGGAAGAAGUGUGGCUCACGCUGAUAAGGAUGUGAGCGGCAGAAAGCAGGCCCAGGCGACUGUUUACCAAAAACACAGCCAUCUGCGAACCGGCAACGGGACGUAUAGGUGGUGACACCUGCCCGGUACCGGAAGGUUAAGGGGAGGGGUUAGCAGCAAUGCGAAGCUCCGAACCGAAGCCCCGGCAAACGGCGGCCGUAACUAUAACGGUCCUAAGGUAGCGAAAUUCCUUGUCGGGU